CGAGUUCGGACGAGAGUCCGUCUUUACCCUCUUCCUGUGAACCUUUUCAUGUUGCUUCGGCGGGCCCGCCUCUAGGCCCGGCUGCCCUCGGGUGGCUGGAGCGCCCGCCAGAAGACCCCUUUUCUCCGUCUUGGUGAAUGUCUGAAAAAAACAAAAUAAACUA
rnacentral:misc_RNA from 1 species